UUUCCUAUUUCUUGCCAGAAAAAAAAAAGAGAAGCAACAAUAAAGUCUUCAUGUAUGUGCCAAGACUACUUAUAUGGAAAGAAAUUCACUUUGAGACAUUAGAUCCCCUAUACUAGAUACAAAAGAGUGAAACAACAAUGAAGGUAUGUGUCAAGACUUAAGAGGAGAAAAAAUCACGUUGAAACAUUGGAUUCCAUAUUAGGAAAAAUGUUGGCACUCUGCCUGGGAAGAGAGGCAGGUGUGGGGCUUCAUUGUUACAUGGUAAGUGAUGCUUUAUACUUUAUAUUUAUACCUACUACUGUGGAGAAAUCAGGCUUGGUACUAGGUAAAUUUAAUACUGGGUGCUAACCCUGCAACAGACUUGCAUCCCCUCUCAUUCCAUCAUUGUCAAACCUUGCCCCUGUAGGGUUGAAACUCUUACAAAAUCUGAUGAUCGUGUUUGAAUUGUGUAGUUCUGUGAAACAGUCAAACUCGCAUCCCAUCCACGAGGGAGUGGAAAUACUCAACAUCACUUAAUGUGACAGAGACAAGCUGAGACUGGGUUAAGCUGUGGUGGGUUAGAUCACUUGGCCUGAUGCAGACUUGCCUUAUCUUCAUAGUCUCAUCCUAGUAGGGUUAAAACGGUAAAACUCUGAUGACUUAUUUUUAAUUGUGUAGUUUGUAAAACGUAAGACGUCAAGGCUGUCAUAAAGGUUAAUAAAAACAGUUCCCAUUUCUUACUAGACACAAACCAGAAAGCUGUGUACUAAGACUUGUAUGGAGAAAGAUUCAUACUGAGGCAAUAGAUUCCAUAUCAG